GACGAACGCUGGCGGCGUGCUUAACACAUGCAAGUCGAACGGGAUCCGGGCUCUCGGGUUUGGUGCGAGUGGCGAACGGGUGAGUAACACGUGAGUAACCCGCCCCCUUCUUUGGGAUAUAGUCGGGAAAUCGGCGCUAAUACUGGAUAUUCUUGCUGCAUCGCCUGGUGGGGUUUGGGAAGGUUUUCUGGUGGGGGAUGGGCCCGCGGCCUAUCAGGUUGUUGGUUGGGGUAUGGCCUUCCAAGGCUUUGACGGGUAGCCGGCCUGGGAGGGUGUCCGGGCGCACUGGGACUGAGACACGGCCAAGACUCCUACGGGAAGCAGCAGUGGGGAAGAUUGCACAAUGGGCGCAAGCCUGAUGCAGCGACGCCGCGUGAGGGAUGACGGCCUUCGGGUUGUAAACCUCUUUCAGUAUGGAACAAGGAUCCUUCUUUUGGGGGGUUUGAGGGUACGUGCAGAAGAAGCGCCGGCUAACUACGUG
rnacentral:rRNA from 1 species